rnacentral:rRNA from 1 species
AAAACCAAUGUCUUCGGACUCCUUGGUGAUUCAUAGUAACUUAACGAAUCGCAUAGCCUUGUGCUGGCGAUGGUUCAUUCAAAUUUCUGCCCUAUCAACUUUCGAUGGUAGGAUAUAGGCCUACCAUGGUUUCAACGGGUAACGGGGAAUUAGGGUUCGAUUCCGGAGAGGGAGCCUGAGAAACGGCUACCACAUCCAAGGAAGGCAGCAGGCGCGCAAAUUACCCAAUCCCGACACGGGGAGGUAGUGACAAUAAAUACUGAUACAGGGCUCUUUUGGGUCUUGUAAUUGGAAUGAGUACAAUUUAAACCUCUUAACGAGGAACAAUUGGAGGGCAAGUCUGGUGCCAGCAGCCGCGGUAAUUCCAGCUCCAAUAGCGUAUAUUAAGUUGUUGCAGUUAAAAAGCUCGUAGUUGAAACUUGGGCCUGGCUGGCGGGUCCGCCUCACCGCGUGCACUCGUCCGGCCGGGCCUUCCUUCUGAAGAACCUCAUGCCCUUCACUGGGCGUGCUGGGGAACCAGGACUUUUAC